rnacentral:rRNA from 1 species
GACGAACGCUGGCGGCGUGCUUAACACAUGCAAGUCGAACGGUGAAGCCCUUCGGGGUGGAUCAGUGGCGAACGGGUGAGUAACACGUGAGCAACCUGCCCCUGGCUCUGGGACAACCACUGGAAACGGUGGCUAAUACCGGAUACGACCCGCCUCGGCAUCGAGUGUGGGUGGAAAGUUUUUCGGCUGGGGAUGGGCUCGCAGCCUAUCAGCUUGUUGGUGAGGUGAAGGCUCACCAAGGCGACGACGGGUAGCCGGCCUGAGAGGGCGACCGGCCACACUGGGACUGAGACACGGCCCAGACUCCUACGGGAGGCAGCAGUGGGGAAUAUUGCACAAUGGGCGAAAGCCUGAUGCAGCGACGCCGCGUGAGGGAUGACGGCCUUCGGGUUGUAAACCUCUUUCAGCUCCGAAGAAGCGAAAGUGACGGUAGGAGCAGAAGAAGCACCGGCUAACUACGUG